rnacentral:rRNA from 1 species
AACGAACGCUGGCGGCAUGCCUAACACAUGCAAGUCGAACGAGACCUUCGGGUCUAGUGGCGCACGGGUGCGUAACGCGUGGGAAUCUGCCCUUGGGUUCGGAAUAACAGUUGGAAACGACUGCUAAUACCGGAUGAUGACGUAAGUCCAAAGAUUUAUCGCCCAAGGAUGAGCCCGCGUAGGAUUAGCUAGUUGGUGAGGUAAAGGCUCACCAAGGCGACGAUCCUUAGCUGGUCUGAGAGGAUGAUCAGCCACACUGGGACUGAGACACGGCCCAGACUCCUACGGGAAGCAGCAGUGGGGAAUAUUGGACAAUGGGCGAAAGCCUGAUCCAGCAAUGCCGCGUGAGUGAUGGAGGCCUUAGGGUUGUAAAGCUCUUUUACCCGGGAUGAUAAUGACAGUACCGGGAGAAUAAGCUCCGGCUAACUCCGUG